rnacentral:lncRNA from 1 species
GUAGGUGAUGCAUGGUUCUCUGUAUACUGAGAAUAUAUAUAUGUAAUAUCUGUUUCAUCUAAUGUUGAAAAUUGUGUUAUCUGUUUUGGCAGUUCGCUACAGAAGCAGCCAUAACAAUUCUCCGAAUAGAAGAAAAGAUCAAGCUUGUUCAAGGUAUGAUCAAACUUGUCAAGGAAGACGAUGGUCAGGAAUAGUAGUAGUAGAAGCAGUAGAAUUGUUGCACGGUUUUGACCCUUUGUUUCCUUGGGGGCGGCAGCAAGUUUUCUUCUCGAGUUAUCUUUGCUGGAAAGAGAGGUUGUAGUUAGGACUUUGUUUUCAGGUGUGUUUGAAUGCUUUUGUUUGUGGGCUGCUUUUGUACUAGUACCGGAUGCUCUUUUGCUUUGUAUUAUUAGUGAAAUGGUGAAAAAUCAAACAUCUUUAUCUUUCCAAGUUUUGAAGGGGAUGCUUGAAUGCUCUUGUUUUGUGUUCUCUUUCUCUGUGUGCAUCUUUGAAUUCUUAUCAAUUUGAGAUGGUCAUAAUAACCAUUUCCUACUUGUCUGCUUCUGCAC